UACGUAGGGUGCGAGCGUUGUCCGGAAUUAUUGGGCGUAAAGGGCUCGUAGGCGGUUUGUUGCGUCGGGGGUGAAAACACUGGGCUUAACUCAGUGCUUGCUUCCGAUACGGGCAGACUAGAGGUAUGCAGGGGAGAACGGAAUUCCUAGUGUAGCGGUGAAAUGCGCAGAUAUCAGGAGGAACACCGGUGGCGAAGGCGGUUCUCUGGGCAUUACCUGACGCUGAGGAGCGAAAGUGUGGGGAGCGAACAGG
rnacentral:rRNA from 1 species